rnacentral:rRNA from 1 species
GGUUAAGUUAAUAAGGGCGCACGGUGGAUGCCUUGGCACUAGGAGCCGACGAAGGACGUGACAAACGACGAUAUGCCUUGGGUAGCUGUAAGUAAGCGAUGAUCCAUGGAUUUCCGAAUGGGGGAACCCAACAGGUAAUACCUGUUACCCACAUCUGUUAAGGAUGUGAGGAGGAAGACGCAGUGAACUGAAACAUCUAAGUAGCUGCAGGAAGAGAAAGCAAAAGCGAUUGCCUUAGUAGCGGCGAGCGAAACGGCAGAAGGGCAAACCGAAGAGUUUACUCUUCGGGGUUGUAGGACUGCAAUGUGGACUCAAAGAUUAUAGAAGAAUGAUUUGGGAAGAUCAGCCAAAGAGAGUAAUAGCCUCGUAUUUAAAAUAGUCUUUGUACCUAGCAGUAUCCUGAGUACGGCGGGACACGUGAAAUCCCGUCGGAAUCUGGGAGGACCAUCUCCCAACCCUAAAUACUCCCUAGUGACCGAUAGUGAACCAGUACCGUGAGGGAAAGGUGAAAAGCACCCCGGGAGGGGAGUGAAAUAGAACCUGAAACCGUGUGCCUACAACAAGUUCGAGCCCGUUAAUGGGUGAGAGCGUGCCUUUUGUAGAAUGAACCGGCGAGUUACGUUAUGAUGCGAGGUUAAGUUGAAGAGACGGAGCCGUAGGGAAACCGAGUCUGAAUAGGGCGCCUUAGUAUCAUGACGUAGACCCGAAACCAUGUGACCUACCCAUGAGCAGGUUGAAGGUGCGGUAAGACGCACUGGAGGACCGAACCAGGGCACGUUGAAAAGUGCUUGGAUGACUUGUGGGUAGCGGAGAAAUUCCAAACGAACUUGGAGAUAGCUGGUUCUCUCCGAAAUAGCUUUAGGGCUAGCGUCGACAUUAGAGAUUCUUGGAGGUAGAGCACUGUUUGGGUGAGGGGUCCAUCCCGGAUUACCAAUCUCAGAUAAACUCCGAAUGCCAAUGAAUUAUGGUCGGCAGUCAGACUGCGAGUGCUAAGAUCCGUAGUCGAAAGGGAAACAGCCCAGACCACCAGCUAAGGUCCCAAAAUAAUUGUUAAGUGGAAAAGGAUGUGGGGUUGCACAGACAACUAGGAUGUUAGCUUAGAAGCAGCUAUUCAUUCAAAGAGUGCGUAAUAGCUCACUAGUCGAGUGACCCUGCGCCGAAAAUGUACCGGGGCUAAAACAAUUUACCGAAGCUGUGGAUACCUUUAUAGGUAUGGUAGGAGAGCGUUCUAUGUGUGAUGAAGGUAUACCGUGAGGAGUGCUGGAACGCAUAGAAGUGAGAAUGCCGGUAUGAGUAGCGAAAGACAGGUGAGAAUCCUGUCCACCGUAAGACUAAGGUUUCCAGGGGAAGGCUCGUCCGCCCUGGGUUAGUCGGGACCUAAGGAGAGACCGAAAGGUGUAUCCGAUGGACAACAGGUUGAUAUUCCUGUACUAGAGUAUGUAGUGAUGGAGGGACGCAGUAGGCUAACUAAAGCAGACGAUUGGAAGAGUCUGUCUAAGCAGUGAGGUGUGAAUUGAGUCAAAUGCUUAAUUCUAUAACAUUGAGCUGUGAUGGGGAGCGAAGUUUAGUAGCGAAGUUAGUGACGUCACACUGCCAAGAAAAGCUUCUAGCGUUUAAACAUACUCUACCCGUACCGCAAACCGACACAGGUAGUCGAGGCGAGUAGCCUCAGGUGAGCGAGAGAACUCUCGUUAAGGAACUCGGCAAAAUGACCCCGUAACUUCGGGAGAAGGGGUGCUGACUUUAAGUCAGCCGCAGUGAAUAGGCCCAAGCAACUGUUUAUCAAAAACACAGCUCUCUGCUAAAUCGUAAGAUGAUGUAUAGGGGGUGACGCCUGCCCGGUGCUGGAAGGUUAAGAGGAGUGCUUAGCGUAAGCGAAGGUAUGAAUUGAAGCCCCAGUAAACGGCGGCCGUAACUAUAACGGUCCUAAGGUAGCGAAAUUCCUUGUCGGGUAAGUUCCGACCCGCACGAAAGGCGUAAUGAUUUGGGCACUGUCUCAACGAGAGACUCGGUGAAAUUUUAGUACCUGUGAAGAUGCAGGUUACCCGCGACAGGACGGAAAGACCCCAUGGAGCUUUACUGCAGUUUGAUAUUGAGUGUCUGUACCACAUGUACAGGAUAGGUAGGAGUCUAAGAGAUCGGGACGCCAGUUUCGAAGGAGACGCUGUUGGGAUACUACCCUUGUGUUAUGGCCACUCUAACCCAGAUAGGUGAUCCCUAUCGGAGACAGUGUCUGACGGGCAGUUUGACUGGGGCGGGUAACCUGCAU